CCGGCGUGCCUCGAGGCGUCGCGCGGCCGGAGAUGCGGGGCGCGGGUCCUCACGGGGCCGGACUCCCGCGUCUGAGGGAGUCGUGGCCGCUCCCUUCGAGGCAGCAGCGUCCUGUGAGGCGAGUGGCGCGUUCAGCUAGGCCCGAGGGACGCCGCGGGGGGUUCAGUCAGCAACCUCGAUCUCGGAAAAGCCGAGCGAAGUUUCCAGACGGCGCCGGCCGGUUGCGGCCGGUUGGUGCGUCGGCCGGCGCGCUCAGGGGGGCUCAGAAGUCGCCCGAGCCAAAGCGGGCUUUAGCAGGCGGGCCUCGGAAGCGGGGACGACGGACCCGGUCCCACCGCACCCCGGAACAAACGGAAACAGUCGCUCCGAAUUGCCAGACACUCCGCUUUUGUAGCGGAUCCCGCAUUUCCAGAAGGAAAGCGUAGGAGUCUCCCGGGAAUAAAAGCGUUAGUAAGUCAUGUUCACAGGAGAGGACGGAGUACUGGAAACAGUAAGACGGUGAUUCAGACAACAAGAGUUUAACAAGCAUGUUAAUUCUCUGGGUUUGACCUAGAAGGACAUUAGUAUGUUGUGAGAAAAGAUUGUAAUCAAGUAGUAUUCCAUGGGGCUGAUCGGAGGUUAAGCGGCCGCACUGCUCUGGAAGAGGACCUCGGCCGGGUUCCCAGCACCCACAUAGCAGCUCACAACUGCCUGUAACCC
rnacentral:lncRNA from 1 species